rnacentral:lncRNA from 1 species
GGAGCCAUAAGUCCAUUAUAAAUCAGUUCAAAUAACAGACAGGAAGCAUCUUUAUUAAUCUGCCGAAAAAAGAACUCUUGCAAGAACUGAGCAAUAUAAGCUUCAUGUAAACCAUUGUAGAUAACACAAAUUCUGGAUAAGUUCGCUUGGCUAGUCCAGGCCAUGUAACGUCCCCCACUAAUUUUGCCGGAGCAUGUAGUCAAAAGAAAAAAAAACAAUUACUUGUGUCGAAAUUCUAUAGCAGUGACACAAAUUUUACAAAAAUCCAUAAAAACCAACAUACUCAGGAGAAAGCUGGCAUACAAGGAAGAAAUGUAAAAAUUAUAAUCUGAAACUUAUCAUUUCUAUGAUUUACAUGUUUUAUAAAGGAAAGGAAGUUACGGUGUUUGGAGAUGGAGAAGUGAGGAGAAACUGGUCUGGGAAUUAGGCUAGAAAAGAUGUAUGAUUUCAGUGGAAAAUGAAGUAUUUUAUUUAUUUUCUUUUGAAAAAAGGGAACAUGAGUGAAGAAGAUGUUUUAGAGGGAAUUGAUGUGCAUCUUGCGAGUCCAGAUGUUAAAUUGUGAUGCAUAUUUCUAUGGGUAGUUAUUGAAUUGGCAAUCAGAAGCUUCUUGUUGUCGUUGCAUAUUGGCCUUUUAUAUUUGCCCCAUGCCAAUCUAUAAAAUCAGCAUAUUAACUGCAGUUACUAUAAAGAUCAUAUAAUUGUGUGCCAUUGGAAUAGUCGUCAUACUCCAAUUGGUGUAAUGCGGAGGUAGACAGGUCUGCCACAUGCCAUUUCGCAUGUCCAUCACCGGGAAAGGUUGAUUAAUAUUAGAAAGGUUGAUUAAUAUAUACAUGCACAGUUUCAGAUAUAUGAUUAUUUCUGCCAGUAUUAGUUAAGCAUCAGCUUUUCCUUUUUUUGUGUGACCAUCUCUCUUGUGGUUUGCUUGAACUUUCUUGCUGAUUUCAGAUGCCCUUAAAGAGGCUUCCAUGUUAUAUCUCCAAUUUCUGGUGGGACAAGUUCUAUUUGUGCUAGAAUGCGUAGUUUAUUAUGCUAAUGCUAACUGUGUUUACAAAGCUGAGAAGCAUGAAUCUGUUGCUUUCUUAAGGUGUUCCCCAAAAAUUCAGCUUUUAUAGCUAAAUCAAGUGAAAUCAGAUCAUGUGGGAAGUCUGCAGUUACUGUUAACAAUGUCUGACCAUCUUUUUUAAUUAUUUAGUCUGUCGUCAAUUACUUCCACAGGACCUCAGGCAGCUGAAAGGAAUCACAGCAACAUAUAGGAUGACUAACAAACUUCCUGUGAGGCAUUCUCCGUACGUGUCUGGGAUUUUAAGGCCACUGAAGGUGUGUGGUCUUCACUUCUCUUGAUUCGUAUAAUGGUAUAUUUUGAUUUUGUAAUCAGAAACAUUUCAUCUUGAAAUGUAGAACUGCAGCCUUAUAAUUAAAAGCACAAAACCCGCUCUUCAUUCUUGUGCAUGUAUUUUGCAUAUCUUCUUUGCUGAUCUUAGAUAUGCUGAUAUUACUUUUGUUUAUGUUCUAUUUUUAUCUUCCUUAUAAGGUUGCUAUCUACUUUAUUCCUUGCAAAAAAGAAUUUAAACCAGAGAUACAUGUGGACUAUUGAUAUCCUCUCUCUCUCUCCCUCUCCCUCUCUCCACACUAUUCUCAUAAAAAGAGUACUUGUUUCUUUCCUUUUUUCAGAUCUUGAUUGUACCAUGUGAUAUUGACACUGUUGUGCACCAUAGUUCAGUGAACCACAAGUAGAUACCCCUGCAAGAUUUGAAAACUUGGUUUCUUUACAUGUUUCUUUACUCUGAGAAGGUGGACUCCUAGUGAUAAAAUGAUAAACAGAUUUGCUAGUUGCAGAGUACCUUGGGACCUUGUUCCUCUUAUUCCAGAAUUCUGAUAGAGCUCGUGUUUAAACUUUGUUGUAAUUUCAAUGUUGUAGACUUGCUUAAUAUAGAGAAUUCUUAUUUCUGUCUUAUAAGGUUAUCCCUAAUUAUUGCAUGAAACCAUUUUUGCAGCCUUGUGGUUGAGAUUAAUUUUUGAGGCAUUGCUUGAGCCACAUUGACUUUCAUGGAAAUUUAAGUGUUUAUCCCAUCUUUUUUUUGGUUGUAGUUAGGGAUGCAAAUAGGUGGAACUGCUUGAAUUAUGCAGAUUUUGGAAAAAGAGCUCUUGUUACUUUAUUGUAAUUAAUGGGUGGUGCUAACUCAUAAUUUUGAAAGCUAAUCUGAUAAGAGCAUGAGGUUGGAUUAGUAAGUGCUCUAAAUUCUUGUCAGCUCAACUCCUUUAGGCUUAAAAAGUUACUUUGUUGGGCUUAGGCCAAUUUUGACCCAAUGUGAAAACUUUUUGGUAUGUGUUCAUGUAUGGGCUAACUGGGUACAGUAGUGUUUAGUAAAUUCAAUAAACACAACAGUCCUCUUCCUAUGCUCUAAUGUUCAAAGGUCUUGCCCCUCUGCUUCCAGGCAGUUCUAGGGGAAAAUGGAAAACAUGGUCUCUUUAGCCCCCUCCCCACUCAUCCAACUAGAUCCUCAAAUCUUGUUGCUACAUACAUACCUAACAAGGCACUGAAAAACAGAACUAAAACCUAAUAAAGAUGUGAUUAAAGCUUACCUCAUCUCACAGACGACCAAAACUAGAAUUUACUCAAAUUAAGACAUAUAAAUGUUCCCGAACUCUUGAAUCCCCCCGAGGGGGUUGGGGGGGAAACGUUCCAUAACCUAAUUGUCCUUAUGGCUGGAACUAUGAUUCUGUAUAUUUCUCAAUAUUUGAGCUAAUCCUUGUUGCACAUUGCUAGCAAACUAGGGAGGUGUCUGAGCUAGAAAGCAUGUGGUUUGGUUUUCCUUAAGUGGCCAUACACAUUGAACUAAGUUUUAAAGCUUCGGCCGAAGCUGAUCUGCUGUGGCUGAAAUGAAUCAGUUCUGGCCUAUACCAAUAUGAAACUGACCAAAAUUUUUGGUUUCGAUCAGCUUCGGCCAAUUUUGGCCAUAAUUGACUAAACACUUUUUUUAAAGACUUUUGUUUCACUAGUAAAAAUUUAUAAUGCUUUUUAAAACUCAUUAAAAUAAUUCAACCACACAUUUACUAUGGAUCUAAUGAUCUAAUUCAUGCUAUUUUCAUCUAAACUUUGUAAGUGGGUAAGGUGCAUUGUUGAAAAAUGUUUUAAGUUACAAAUAAUGUUGCGAUAUAUAGAAGAAAUGAUGUAUGUUCAUCUCUAGGAGCUUUUAUUUGUCUUGGAGAGCGAGAUAUUUAAAUAAUUUUAUGUUCUUGUGCACUUGUCUUGUUAGUUUAUGCAUGAUUGAGUGACAGUUGUCAUUCUACUUCGUAGAAUGUACAUUCAUGUGUUAUGAUUAAUGCAUUAAGCUUCAACAGAACUCAAUUUCAGUCUGAGACUAACUAAAACUAUUUGAAUUAUGACUGUAAAUAACUUAGAAUACAAUACAACUGUGUGACAUAACUUGCCUUUGUCUUUUUUAUUUUUUGUUUUUUGAAUUUUGAUGCUUUCCAUCUGAAAUUCCAACUUCGAGUGAAACUACCAAAACCGCUGAAACUGAUACUCUAUCCAGGAGACUGAAACUGAAAGAGAAACUGAUUUUUAAAAAACUACAUAAAAGUAACAGAUAUCCAUCAAGUUAUGCUCCCAGGAAGACUCUAUACUGAAGAGAUCUCACGAUUGUAUAUUUGUUAUCUGUCCUCCCAACAGUAAACAAAACCACAAACUAUACUUGGAAAAAUAAACUCUCUCCUUUGGGUUUCAUUCUCAAAGUGCAACUUUAUAACAAAACAAAAUCAUGUCCUUGGGUGGUCGAGCCACAUCUACUAGAAGGGAAUAGUUUAAUCAGUUUUUUUCCUGUUUAAUGAAAUAUUAUUAACUUGUCCAUUCCAAGGGACAGGUACAAGCUCUACUGUAACAUCUGAAUGUGCUAUUGAUAACAAUGGUGCUACAUGAGAAUUAGGCCUUUUCUAAGGGCAUCAUCAAAAGUUACAUCACCUUAGUUUAUCAGUAUUACUGAGAGUGAUCUCUUUAGAUAAAGUUUUGAGGGUUCUUUGGACCUCUGUUUCAUGCAUGGACGUCUUUUGAGUUAUCCACCAUGAUUAUAUUGAUAGAAGAUUGCUAUCUAUAUGAUGCUGAAUCAAGUUUUCUAGCUUCAACUUUGGUUUUGUAAGUGGUAUCACAGAAAAACCAGUAAAAAAUUUUCAGUAACAUUUCUAGCACUGGAAUGGCAUGGAUUCCGAAGAUAUGACAGCGAUGCAGCUGUUAUUUCCAGUUGUUUCAGUCAUCAGUUACCAAUAAACCGAUUUUGUUUCUUUUUUCCCCCUAAAAACGCAUUAACUAAAUCUUGAACUAUUUUAGUAGGUCAAUGUUAUUUGGGUAGAACUAUUUGGGGCAUUUCAGAGGGAGAUGGAACAGAAUUUUACUAUGAUUUGUACUUUUGUACUAGUUGGAUACCCUGUAUUGAAGUAUAAUGGGAUUCAUCAUGUGUAUUGAAGUAAACGGGGGUUUCAUCAUGAGUUACUGGAGAUUUUGUCUAAGAAUUUGCAUAAAUAUUCAAUCCCCCAUUUUCCCAAAAAAUGGAAAAAGAAUCAUAUGUCUGAUUAACCAAGAAAAUGAUCUAAGUUGCACACAUGAUGGAUAUAAAAUAUGUUCUUAUAUUCCAAUGAUAACUUUUUGAUUGCAGUGCAUUGAAGAGUUUGCUUUUUCUCCCUUUAAGAUUUUAUACAGCAUCCUUACAUUCUCAUCCAACCAAAAUUUUUACCUAACCAUGAGUUAUUAUCAAUUGUAGGCAUUUCUUGAUGGAGAGCAUGUGGCAUGCUUAACUCAUGAUGCAAGAAAUGAACUACUCUAUGGCACCACAAAAAGAAUCACGAGUCGUUACUAUGAACUGGCAUCAGAUCUCGUCAGCGUGGUAAGUAGCAAAGCCAUUACAGUUUCAAAUUUCUUGAGUUAUAACCUGUUCACAUCAGUGAAUAUGCUUCGGUCGACCUUUUUCAUAGGCAAGGAAAACAGAAUCUUCACUGUUAAGAUUACGGCAAGGUGCACAACGACGAGUUGGAGCAAGCUCCGAUGCCUUGGACAACAAUAUAUCUGAUACAGAAAAGAUCUGCAUGCAGUUAUUUCUCGACAUUCAGGUACUUGAAUACAGUUCUAAUAAACUCUUCUGAUUUGAUUCCUUAAAUGCUUCCCUUAGGAUAUAAACAAAUGCAGAGAUCUGGUAAACACAUGCGAACUGUGAGAGUAUUACCCAAACUAAAAGGGUAUACCUUUUUCCUGCAUUGGAAUUUAAUAUUAUAAGUCAAGAUUGGUCUAAUGGCAAUCAUAAUAGUGAUACAUAGAUUUCUUUAUAUGGCUGAAUUUUCCCAUCUAUUCUAUUGAUGCAUAUUUUAUGCUGCUAUAGUGUGUUUUAAUUCCCAUGGCAGUGUUUUUUACUCAUGACUUUGUUGACAUCGAUUAAGCAAAACUUGUUAGUUGGUUAUGUUAUUUGAGUUAAUUAUGUUAUGUCGUAAUACCAUAGAAGCUAUAGUGGCCUAACUAUAAAAUAGAAACCUUCAAGUUUUGUAAGUGCAAAACAAGGUCUCCUAACUUGGUCUGCAUAGAUUGUUUUCUUGUCCAUUCUAAAAUCAAUCUUUUUGAAAGAACUGGGUCUAAUAGGAAUAACUCCACUUCUCCUUCUUGGUUUCAUUGAUACAUUUUUUCAGAUUCAUGUGUUCAUAAAGUUUUGAUAUUUUGAUUAUUUCUUUUAAAGUUAAGCAUUUAAGAAUAUUUGGGGAGUAAGGAAUAUUUAAUUGACGGGAAAAAGUUAAGAUUUCAAAGUUAUAGAAUUUAAAAUAUUUGUUACGGGAGCUUAACUUAUGAUUUCUUCUUUUGUAUGGAAGAUAUAAUAUUGCUAAUUACUUAAAUUAACACUAUUGGUUUAUCAUAGACUGUUGAGGUAAUUAUGGCUUAGGGACUACAUUUAAAAAGGUGAUUCGUUGUUUGGCUAUGAAUUAUGCUGUAUGUCUCAAACCUUACCAAAAUAUUUAAGUAGAUAUUGCAAUUUCAGUUGCUAUGAUUUUGUUAAUUCUGCUAUUUACAACUACUGCAUUCAUAUCUUACAAGCUACAGAAAAAGGAUUACGUACAUGUAUUUAAGCUAUUCAGGGUGAAAAUAAAUGGUUAUAUUUUUGGUGCAAACUUUUAUAAGAUUGAUUCUUACAUAAAUAAGUGGAUCUUUAGAAGUUCAUCAUCAAGUUGCAAUUUUGAAAAUUGAAGCUUGAUGUCAUUAGAUUUACCUCGACAUUUUUUGAGAAGCUGGUGAUGCACUAGUAAAUCAUGACAAGUUGGUUAUUCUCAUUAUAGAAACAGAACCUAUAAGUCUUUUAACUCUUUCUUUUCAUUUGUAGGAAUACGGGCGCAACCUUGCUGCAAUUGGUAUUAAAGCAGCUGAUAUUCCAGCCUACAGGUCCUUGUGGCAGUGUGUUGCUCCAGAAGAUAAGCAAACACAGUUUGUUUUCUGAAGUAACCACAUCGAGCUAUAUUUGGUAUUCGUGUAUUAUUUUCCUGUUUUCUGUCAUUUUAAGAGGAUCAACAUUUUAUUUAGCUCACUUUAACUUCUAUCCAUAUGUUGGGUUGUUCAUGCAGGUGCAUGUCAUAGAGAUUCUGAGUAAAGCAACAGAAGGCCUGGAUGAUUCACCUACCAUCAGGUGCUCCACAACUGUAAGGUUUCCAUCUUCCACAGCAAAAUUAUUGGGGCUAUGUGAUCCCAGCAAUUUGGAUUCUGUGAACUCAUUGAGUUUUCUAUUGUUUGAUAUAUGUCCAUUCUGUUGAUUUCCCCUCUCCCUAUUCCAGACCCUGAGAGAUGGGUGGUUUGGAUUCAAAAGGAUCUGAAAAGUGAGAAUAUAAACAGAGGAUUUCUUGUUCAACUGAAGAUGUUCUGGGUAUUUGCAACAUGUUUGUAUACAUUAGAUGCUUGGCAAACUGGUGAUCCCUGGCUUCUGGACAGGUAGGGGUGAUAUAGAGGUAAUACCAUUGGGAUGUUAAUUUCUGGAUAGGCUAUUUGUGAUGUCCUCAUAAAUUGCCUAAAUCCUCGAGGAGAUGAACUCAAAACUUGUUGCAGUUGCUCGUCAUUUUUCAAAUAGAUUAAGUCAGAUGAGCACAAUUGUCAUCUCUCUUACAAAUUUUAAGAUUAACUAAAGCUUUCCCAGAAUUUAUACCUCGUCUCCACCUUCCUGUGAGCAAGAAUGAGGAACGCGAUUCCUUCUCAUUAUUCUAUUUGUUUGAAGUAGGGGCGCACGUAGGCUUACGUCAACCCGAGUACCGAACCAAAUCAUCUUUAUUGAGUUGGUUACAAGUUUUGCUUCCGACUGGUUCAGGAUAUAUACAUACGCACAUACAUAAAUACGUAUAUACGUGUGCAUAUAUAUAUAUAUAUAUAUAUCAAAAGUCUUUAAGUUCGGAUAUUAUAAAUUUUGGGCAACGCAAAAAUUGAUCGGAACUCGAUGUCCACGAAGUGCAUAAAAGGACCCGCUGCGGGGUGAACUCUGCUUCAUCGGAGCUUCAUUCUUCCUCUUUUCUUUUUUUCUUUUUUGUUUGUUUGUAGAACGGCUGCUCACCUACUUUGGUAGCAGCCAGCAGAAUCUAGAGCUACAAGCUGUAAUGGUCCCCCUGAUAUGGCCAACGUACCCCUUUGGAGUGCUUUAUUCUAAUUUCUCGAUAGCAGAACAGAGCACUGCAGAUUUGCUUGGUAACUUAUAGUGGCAAUUGCCAAUGAGAGCACAUUCUGAUGGUUGGGUUGCUGGUUGAGCUUAAAUUAUGGCACCAAAUGGUCGGUCAAUAGGCUGGCAUAAGGUCACCAAAUUGCCAGUGAAAUACCGAUGGGCAAAUCAAAACCCACUUGUUUACGUUUUAGCGGGCAGAACUUAACCACGGCCAACGAGAAGCCAUAACAACCAAGCUGUCUCGGGUCGGCUUUACGAACCCAAGGGGACAAUGAGAUGAACCUUGCAUACAAAAAAGAUAGCAAUCUAAAUUCAAAUUUUCAAAGGAAAUACCACGGAUUAAACAGUACUAUUAUAUGCCAAAGCUUUCUGGUGACAAGAUUUACUAGUGUGGUUGUUAACAACAAUAACUGGAUUAUUUAAUUCUCCAAAUCCUCCUGCGAAACAUCAUAGUAUAAUAUUCAAGCAAUAGCAAUCUAAAAAUUGCUUGUAACUGCCCAUCCUACAAUUCAAAUACUCAAUUGUGUUCUUUUCCAGUGUUCAAUCAUGAGAAUCGAUCACGAUAUAAUGGAAAAGAGAUUAACUGAUGUUGCUAACCCACACCCACUUAUCAAACGUCAGUUCCAAAGUAGCGGUCGCCAAACUCACCCAAUCCUGGGAUAA